UCCACAGACACCUCACAGCUUUAUGGGGAAAGCCCAGAGGAUGACCUCGUUUCCCCUUUGGAGCACUGCAUCCGGACGAAGUGGAAAGGAGCCAAGGGUCAAUUGAAACGGCACAGAGCCCAUCUUGUGACGGACGUCUUCCAGUAAAACCAGGCUCCACCCGCCAGAGGGAUCCCCGGGGCAUUUCUCGUUGCCUGGCCCCCGAUCGGAUGCAAACCCACCGAAGGACCUUCGUCGUGGACCACCCCGGCUGUAAUCCCUCCUUUGCGGCGUCCGAGAAAAGGUGGCUGGGCUUCCCCUUCGAGCCUCCAAUGUUAAGGAAACGAGAAGGUCAACCCCCCAAACCAAGGGGAAAAAAGAGCAGUAAAUUUGUCCACAUCCCAUCAAAUUCCGUUGCUGAAUCCUUGCCACAUCCUGUGAUUAUAUUGGUUGAACAAUACCGAUGGCAACCCCCUUUCUUGUUUUUUUUUUUUUAAAAAGCAAGUGAUGACAACAAUCUCUGGGUCCAUUUUAAAGCUAGGAAGCCAAAAUUAAACAA